rnacentral:rRNA from 1 species
GGAUACCCGAGGGAAACUUCGGUUAAUACGGUAUAAGACCACACUACCGCAUGGUAGAGGGGUAAAAGGGGCAACCUGGUAUGAGAUGGACUCGCGUCGCAUUAGCUAGUUGGUGAGGUAACGGCCCACCAAGGCGACGAUGCGUAGCCGACCUGAGAGGGUGAUCGGCCACAUUGGGACUGAGAUACGGCCCAGACUCCUACGGGAGGCAGCAGUGGGGAAUAUUGGGCAAUGGAGGAAACUCUGACCCAGCAAUGCCGCGUGAAUGAAGAAGGUCUUCGGAUUGUAAAGUUCUUUAGUCAGGGAAGAAGUCAAUGACGGUACCUGAAGAAUAAGCUCCGGCUAACUACGUGCCAGCAGCCGCGGUAAUACGUAGGGAGCAAGCGUUGUUCGGAAUGACUGGGCGUAAAGGGUGCGUAGGCGGUUGUACAAGUUAGAAGUGAAAUACCCAGGGCUUAACUCGGGUGCUGCUUCUAAAACUGUAUGACUUGAGUGCAGUAGAGGUUAGUGGAAUUCCUAGUGUAGCGGUGGAAUGCGUAGAUAUUAGGAGGAACACCAGAGGCGAAGGCGGCUAACUGGACUGCAACUGACGCUGAGGCACGAAAGUGUGGGGAGCAAACAGGAUUAGGUACCCUGGUAGUCCACACUGUAAACGAUCGAUAAUGGAUGUAGGAGGUAUCGACUCCUUCUGCGUCGCA